rnacentral:rRNA from 1 species
GACGAACGCUGGCGGCGUGCCUAAUACAUGCAAGUCGAGCGGACUUUCAAGAAGCUUGCUUUUUGAAAGUUAGCGGCGGACGGGUGAGUAACACGUGGGCAACCUGCCUGCAAGACGGGGAUAACUCCGGGAAACCGGGGCUAAUACCGGAUAAUAUCUUCCUUCGCAUGAAGGAAGGUUGAAAGGCGGCGCAAGCUGCCGCUUGCAGAUGGGCCCGCGGCGCAUUAGCUAGUUGGUGAGGUAACGGCUCACCAAGGCGAAGAUGCGUAGCCGACCUGAGAGGGUGAACGGCCACAAUGGGACGGAGAACCGGCCCAGACUACUAAGGGAGGCAGCAGUAGGGAAACGUUCGAAAUGGGGGAAAGGCUGACGGGGCAAAGCCGGGUGAGAGAAGAAAGUCUUCGGAUCGUAAAGCUCCGUUGUCAGGGAAGAACAAGCACCGUUCGAACAGGGCGGUACCUUGACGGUACCUGACCAGAAAGCCACGGCUAACUACGUG